GGGAAUUUUGAUAGCUUAAAUACACCCAUUUUCUCUCUCUCUUCCCUUAUUGUUCAUCCUCUGUUUUAGGUUUUUAUUUUUAGGGCAUUUUUAUCUUCCAAUUUUCUCUUGGUAUAAUGAGCAACCCUAAAGAUAACUUCAAUGUUGCCGAUCUCAGUGCUGCUCUGAAUGCUGGGGACAGAGCAGACCUUGUUAAUGUUCUCAAAAACAAACUUCAAGACCUUACUGGGAAGCACACAAACUUGCUUGAAAAUCUCUCGCCCAAUGUCAGAAAGCGUGUUGAAGUUCUGAGAGAGAUUCAGUCUCAGCAUGAUGAGUUGGAGGCAAAAUUUUUUGAAGAGAGAGCUGCACUUGAAGCCAAAUACCAAAAGUUGUAUCAGCCUCUAUAUACUAAGAGGUUUGAUAUUGUGAAUGGAGUUGUUGAAGUUGAUGGUGCAGUGACAGAGGCAGCAGCAGACCAGGAAGAGGAUAAAGAUGCAGAGGGGAAAGGAGUCCCAGAUUUCUGGUUCACUGCAAUGAAGAAUAAUGAAGUGCUAGCUGAGGAGAUUUCCGAGCGAGAUGAAGGCGCCCUCAAAUUUCUCAAGGAUAUAAAGUGGACAAGGAUUGAGAAUCCCAAGGGAUUUAAACUUGAAUUUUUCUUUGACACCAAUCCGUACUUCAAGAAUACUGUGCUGACUAAAACAUAUCACAUGAUUGAUG
rnacentral:misc_RNA from 1 species